GAUGAACGCUGGCGGCGUGCCUAAUACAUGCAAGUCGAGCGAACAGACGAGGAGCUUGCGCCUCUGACGUUAGCGGCGGACGGGUGAGUAACACGUGGAUAACCUACCUAUAAGACUGGGAUAACUUCGGGAAACCGGAGCUAAUACCGGAUAACAUGUUGAACCGCAUGGUUCAACAGUGAAAGACGGUUUUGCUGUCACUUAUAGAUGGAUCCGCGUCGCAUUAGCUAGUUGGUAAGGUAACGGCUUACCAAGGCAACGAUGCGUAGCCGACCUGAGAGGGUGAUCGGCCACACUGGAACUGAGACACGGUCCAGACUCCUACGGGAGGCAGCAGUAGGGAAUCUUCCGCAAUGGGCGAAAGCCUGACGGAGCAACGCCGCGUGAGUGAAGAAGGUCUUCGGAUCGUAAAACUCUGUUAUUAGGGAAGAACAAAUGUGUAAGUAACUAUGCACGUCUUGACGGUACCUAAUCAGAAAGCCACGGCUAACUACGUG
rnacentral:rRNA from 1 species